CCUACGGGUGGCUGCAGUGAGGAAUAUUGGUCAAUGGAGGGAACUCUGAACCAGCCAUCCCGCGUGCAGGAUGAAGGGGCUCUGCCCUGUAAACUGCUUUUGAAUGGGACGAAAAAGCCUCACUUGUGAGGAACUGACGGUACCGUAUGAAUAAGGACCGGCUAAUUCCGUGCCAGCAGCCGCGGUAAUACGGAAGGUCCGGGCGUUAUCCGGAUUUAUUGGGUUUAAAGGGAGCGUAGGCUGCCGGUUAAGUGUGUUGUGAAAUGCAGGCGCUCAACGUCUGCCUUGCAGCGCAUACUGUCCGGCUUGAGUACGCACAACGUUGGCGGAAUUCGUCGUGUAGCGGUGAAAUGCUUAGAUAUUAGGAGGAACACCAGUGGCGAAAGCGGUUCACUGGCUAUUGUCUGACGCUAAGGCUCGAAAGCGUGGGUAGCAAA
rnacentral:rRNA from 1 species